GUGCUCGCUUCAGCAGCACAUAUACUAAAAUUGGAACGAUACAGAGAAGAUUAGCAAGGCCCCUGCGCAAGGAUGACACACAAAUUCGUGAAGUGUUUCAUUUUUUU
rnacentral:snRNA from 1 species